AUUAUUAUGGAAUUAGGUAAUUGUGGACUUGAAUAUAAAAUUAAAU
rnacentral:misc_RNA from 1 species